rnacentral:rRNA from 1 species
CGUCAAGUCAUCAUGGCCUCUAUGUCCAGGGCUACACACGUACUACAAUGGUCGGUACAAAGGGCUGCAAGCCCGCGAGGGGGAGCCAAUCCCAAAAAGCCGGCCUCAGUUCGGAUUGCAGUCUGCAACUCGACUGCAUGAAGGUGGAAUCGCUAGUAAUCGCGCAUCAGCACGGCGCGGUCGAAUACGUUCCCGGGCCUU